rnacentral:rRNA from 1 species
UGUCCAGACUCCUACGGGAGGCAGCAGUGGGGAAUAUUGCACAAUGGGGGAAACCCUGAUGCAGCGACGCCGCGUGAGUGAAGAAGUAUUUCGGUAUGUAAAGCUCUAUCAGCAGGGAAGAAAAUGACGGUACCUGACUAAGAAGCCCCGGCUAACUACGUGCCAGCAGCCGCGGUAAUACGUAGGGGGCAAGCGUUAUCCGGAUUCACUGGGUGUAAAGGGAGCGUAGACGGCGACGCAAGUCUGGAGUGAAAGCCCGGGGCCCAACCCCGGGACUGCUUUGGAAACUGUAUAGCUGGAGUGCAGGAGAGGUAAGUGGAAUUCCUAGUGUAGCGGUGAAAUGCGUAGAUAUUAGGAGGAACACCAGUGGCGAAGGCGGCUUACUGGACUGUAACUGACGUUGAGGCUCGAAAGCGUGGGGAGCAAACAGGAUUAGAUACCCCCGUA